GAGCGGUGGUGCUAUGGCUGGUGUGAUCCAUGGGCAAGCACAACACGGAGAUCCUAUGUUUCAGGAGUUUGCGGGCCGAUUACUGCGCUGGGUGUGCUCGUCGUUGUUUGAGAUGGUCAGGAGCUGGGUGCUAGAAGGGGAAUUGGAGGAUGUAUUUGCAGAGUUUUUUAUCGUUGGGAAGCCAGUGAAUUACCAGCCAGAACGAAGGUGAUGAGAUGGCGUCAAAGGUAGCUUUUGAUCACCCAGAACGAUUCUCCAAAAAGUUCGAGUUCAGUGCAGACAACAUUGAGCCCCUGGUUCAGACAUGCAUGACAACUCUAUCCUCAAAGAGAGCUGAAGAAGGGGCAUCUGUUUGAAGGAUGGACUGAAGGGGUCAUCAACUUUUGGGUGCUAUUAAAGUGUCCAUAUACCAAACAUAGUUUUGCUUUAUAUGUUGUCACCUGACCUAUGGAGAAAAGGAAGGAGAUGAACUAAAAAGGAAUGCUGAUGUUCAAGAAAUCCACCGAAGGACAAUAUUUAAUCCAGUUUCGAGAGUCAACAUGCCUAAAACGAUAUAUGAUCAUGAAAGGAAUGUAUGGCUAGGUGAUCUCAACUAUAGGAUCAACUUACCAUAUGAGAAGACACACGAACUCAUAUCCAAGCA